GACGAACGCUGGCGGCGUGCCUAAUACAUGCAAGUUGAGCGAUGAAGAUUGGUGCUUGCCCCAAUUUGAAGAGCAGCGAACGGGUGAGUAACGCGUGGGGAAUCUGCCUUUGAGCGGGGGACAACAUUUGGAAACGAAUGCUAAUACCGCAUAACAACUUUAAACAUAAGUUUUAAGUUUGAAAGAUGCAAUUGCAUCACUCAAAGAUGAUCCCGCGUUGUAUUAGCUAGUUGGUGAGGUAAAGGCUCACCAGGGCGAUGAUACAUAGCCGACCUGAGAGGGUGAUCGGCCACAUUGGGACUGAGACCAGGCCCAAACGCCUACGGGAGGCAGCCGUAGGGAAUCUUCGGAAAUGGACGAAAGUCUGACCGAGAAACGCCGCGUGAGUGAAGAAGGUUGUCGGAUCGUAAAACUCUGUUGGUAGAGAAGAACGUUGGUGAGAGUGGAAAGCUCAUGAAGUGACGGUAACUACCCAGAAAGGGACGGCUAACUACGUG
rnacentral:rRNA from 1 species